rnacentral:rRNA from 1 species
UCCCAGACUCCUACGGGAGGCAGCAGUGGGGGAUAUUGCACAAUGGGGGCAACCCUGAUGCAGCGACGCCGCGUGAGCGAUGGAGUACUUCGGUAUGUAAAGCUCUGUCAGCAGGGAAGAGAAUGACGGUACCUGACCAAGAAGCCCCGGCUAAAUACGUGCCAGCAGCCGCGGUAAUACGUAUGGGGCAAGCGUUAUCCGGAUUUACUGGGUGUAAAGGGAGCGUAGACGGCAGUGCAAGUCUGAAGUGAAAGGCGGGGGCCCAACCCCCGAACUGCUUUGGAAACUGUGCUGCUGGAGUGCAGGAGAGGCAAGUGGAAUUCCUAGUGUAGCGGUGAAAUGCGUAGAUAUUAGGAGGAACACCAGUGGCGAAGGCGGCUUGCUGGACGGUAACUGACGUUGAGGCUCGAAAGCGUGGGGAGCAAACAGGAUUAGAUACCCCCGUAGUC